CCCUUAGACGUUCUGGGCCGCACGCGCGCUACACUGAUGCAUUCAACGAGCACCCGCUGGGCCGAGAGGUCCGGCUAAUCUUUGAACGUGCAUCGUGCUGGGGAUAGAUGAUUGCAAUUAUUCAUCUUCAACGAGGAAUUCCUAGUAAACGCAAGUCAUCAGCUUGCAUUGAUUACGUCCCUGCCCUUUGUACACACCGCCCGUCGCACCUACCGAUUGAAUGGUCCGGUGAAAUUCUCGGACGCGGACUAGCGAUGUUAAUUCGGAGCUUGACUGUGAAAGUUAAUUAAACCUUACCAUUUAGAGGAAGGUGAAGUCGUAACA
rnacentral:rRNA from 1 species